rnacentral:rRNA from 1 species
AUUGAACGCUGGCGGCAGGCCUAACACAUGCAAGUCGAGCGGAUGAAGGGAGCUUGCUCCUGGAUUCAGCGGCGGACGGGUGAGUAAUGCCUAGGAAUCUGCCUGGUAGUGGGGGAUAACGUCCGGAAACGGGCGCUAAUACCGCAUACGUCCUGAGGGAGAAAGUGGGGGAUCUUCGGACCUCACGCUAUCAGAUGAGCCUAGGUCGGAUUAGCUAGUUGGUGGGGUAAAGGCCUACCAAGGCGACGAUCCGUAACUGGUCUGAGAGGAUGAUCAGUCACCCUGGAACUGAGACCCGGUCCAGACUCCUACGGGAGGCAGCAGUGGGGAAUAUUGGACAAGGGGCGAAAGCCUGAUCCAGCCAUGCCGCGUGUGUGAAGAAGGUCUUCGGAUUGUAAAGCACUUUAAGUUGGGAGGAAGGGCAGUAAGUUAAUACCUUGCUGUUUUGACGUUACCAACAGAAUAAGCACCGGCUAACUUCGUG